CUUAAAAAGGUCUACGUCUGCUGGAAUGGGUAUGUCAAGCUAUAUGUUUACCUUAUUUAAAUCUCUUUCCGAAACGGACAGGAAAGUUUUGACCCCAUAAAAAGAUUCGUUAGAAUAGAGUGUACAUUUAUGGUGGUGGUUUAGUCAGGUUAUAGACGCCGAAUAUUAAGUACUUUGCUUGUGAACUUUGGAGAGCACAGGAAAGGAAGAGUUGGUGACGCUUGGAGCUUGACGUCAUCUUUUCCGCUGGUCUCUGCGGCCAGUGGGAAUGUUCUCGAACAUGUCGGAUGAAGAAAUGACACAGAGGUCUUUAUAAAUCAGCUCUGACACCAAAGCCAGGUCCUGGUGGAGGCUCAGUCAGAGAUGUCAGUCCACCUGCAGGCUCGCAGGAGAAACGUCCGUUCCUGGAAGAAAAAUAACCACUAUUACACAAGUUUCAGGUUUGUGGUGAAUGUGUGGAGGGUUAAAUACCUGGGCCCAGGUGGAGGGAUUUUCCCAGCCUUCAGCUCAUCUAUGAUCUUAUCCAUGUCUUUGGGAGUCAGGUCCUCCUGGACACAAGAGGGCAGCAACAAGUCAGAAUUCAACUGGUUCAGAACUCUGCCACUCGUUUCAUCACUAGAACAUCAUCUAUUAAUCACAUCACUCCUGUUCUUCAGCAGCUACAUUGGAUCCCAGUAAAAUGCCGCAUUGAUUUUAAGAUUCUGCUCCUCACCUUCAAGACCUUUCACCACCUCACUCCUCUGUACCUCACUGACCUCCUUCAUAUCAACAUACCCACCCGUACUCUCAGAUCUUCUCCUUCUAUUCACCUCACUGUACCUCCUUCAUAUCAACAUAUCCACCCGUACUCUCAGGUCUUCUCCUUCUAUUCACCUCACUGUACCUCCUUCAUAUCAACAUAUCCACCCGUACUCUCAGGCCUUCUCCUUCUAUUCACCUCACUGUACCUCCUUCAUAUCAACAUACCCACCCGUACUCUCAGGUCUUCUAUUCACCUCACUGUACCUCCUGCCCGUUUGACCACUAUGGGGUUUAGAGCCUUCAGCCGCUCUGCCCCUCGCCUCUGGAAUUCUCUUCCAGCAGACAUCCGUAACAUUAACUUGCUUUCCAUUUUCAAAACCCUUUUGAAACUCAUCUUUUCACACUGGCAUAUCUAACAUGAUCACUUUUCAUCUGCUUAUAGCUAUGUUCAUCAUCACGAUUCAUCUGCUUUUAGAAUUGCUCUGUUUGUUUUUAUCUUUGUGAUUUGUGUCUUGUAUGGUGACCUUUAGUGCUUAGAAAGGCACCUAAAAAUAAAAUAUUAUUUACUACUA